UUCAACUCCCAGAAUUCUCCAGUUGGCUGACUGAGGAAUUCUGGGAGUUGAAGUCCACAAGGCUUAAAUUUGCCAAGCUUGGACAUCGCCUGGUUUAGAGUGGGAAUGGCCAUUCAGGCAUCUU